UCUCAGUUCGGAUUGGGGUCUGCAACUCGACCCCAUGAAGUCGGAAUCGCUAGUAAUCGCGUAACAGCAUGACGCGGUGAAUACGUUCCCGGGCCUUGUACACACCGCCCGUCACACCAUGGGAGUUGGGUUUACCCGAAGGCCGUGCGCCAACCUUUAUAGGGGGCAGCGGACCACGGUGAGCUCAGCGACUGGGGUGAAGUCGUAACAAGGUAGCCGUAGGGGAACCUGCGGCUGGAUCACCUCCUUU
rnacentral:rRNA from 1 species